rnacentral:tRNA from 1 species
GCUGUGUUAGCUUAGUUGGUAGUGCGUCUGCCUUGUAAGCGCUAGGCCGCGGGUUCGAUUCCCGCCCGGGGCG